GACGAACGCUGGCGGCGUGCUUAACACAUGCAAGUCGAACGGAAAGGCCCUGCUUUUGUGGGGUGCUCGAGUGGCGAACGGGUGAGUAACACGUGAGUAGCCUGCCCUUGACUUUGGGAUAACUUCAGGAAACUGGGGCUAAUACCGGAUAGGAGCUCCUGCUGCAUGGUGGGGGUUGGAAAGUUUCGGCGGUUGGGGAUGGACUCGCGGCUUAUCCGCUUGUUGGUGGGGUAGUGGCUUACCAAGGCUUUGACGGGUAGCCGGCCUGAGAGGGUGACCGGCCACAUUGGGACUGAGAGACGGCCCAGACUCCUACGGGAGGCAGCAGUGGGGAAUAUUGCACAAUGGGCGGAAGCCUGAUGCAGCAACGCCGCGUGCGGGAUGACGGCCUUCGGGUUGUAAACCGCUUUCGCCUGUGACGAAGCGUGAGUGACGGUAAUGGGUAAAGAAGCACCGGCUAACUACGUG
rnacentral:rRNA from 1 species